rnacentral:rRNA from 1 species
GACGAACGCUGGCGGCGUGCUUAACACAUGCAAGUCGAACGAAAAGAGGGAAAGAGCUUGCUCUUUCCGGAAUUGAGUGGCAAACGGGUGAGUAACACGUAAACAACCUGCCUUCAGGAUGGGGACAACAGACGGAAACGACUGCUAAUACCGAAUAAGUUCCAAGGGCCGCAUGGCCCAUGGAAGAAAAGGUGGCCUCUACCUGUAAGCUAUCGCCUGAAGAGGGGUUUGCGUCUGAUUAGCUGGUUGGAGGGGUAACGGCCCACCAAGGCGACGAUCAGUAGCCGGUCUGAGAGGAGGAACGGCCACACUGGAAUUGAGACACGGUCCAGACUCCUACGGGAGGCAGCAGUGGGGAAUCUUCCGCAAUGGGCGAAAGCCUGACGGAGCAACGCCGCGUGAGUGAUGACGGCCUUCGGGUUGUAAAACUCUGUGAUCCGGGACGAAAAGGCAGAGUGCGAAGAACAAACUGCAUUGACGGUACCGGAAAAGCAAGCCACGGCUAACUACGUG